CUCCUGUGACACGGACCGCUUGUGCUUUCUGAUUGUUUUACUUUUUGGGUGUAUUCGUGUAUGUACAGACGAAUAAUGCUGGCCGGAAGACGGAGGAGGCGGAAUCGGCUCUAUACGCACACUCUAAUACAUCCUAGACAGCAAAAGAGAGGAAUAGCACCAUCGUUAUCUUUCAGGUAAAGUUCAGUUACUCUGGUCGCAAUGAACUUGACAAUGGGACGUCUUCGUUAUUAUUGAAUACAUAGCUGGACUUGGCAUUAUGACUCAAGGCUGAACCAAGGCUAUGAUGAAUUUGUCCAAUUCAAAAACUAUAAGCUUCUCUGUCUGCUCUUUUGAGUCAUCAGCGAGAGGGGAGGCGGUCCGUUUUCAAUGUUUUGACACAUAUUUAAGAGAAAAAGGGAAAACAAAGGAAAGACACACAGCCAACAACCCUGACGCUAGUUGAAAAAGAGAGGAAGGAAAUUUAUUUUCUUUUUUUUUCUUUUUCUUUUUCUUUGCUAUCAGCAAUACACAGACGGACCAAUUUUUAUGUUCUUCAUCUUCUACUUCUUCGGGGCGGUUGGAAGAGGCGGUGGCGGAGCCGGAGGAAGGCUGUGUAGAGAGCCAGACCUAAUCGCUAAGCAAACUCGCACAUGGUGCGUCUUCUUUCCCCUUAAAGAAAAAAGGAAAAUAAAAUAAAAUAGCAAGAAAAUUCGAAUAAGAAAAAAAUAAAUGUAUACUAAAGAUACGCUGCUGCACUAGUAUAUUAAAAAAAAAAAAAAAAGGAAAAAACGAGGGGUUGUAAAUCAUCGAACCUCUGGUGCCCAAGCUUCCAUACCACAUCCAAGAGAUGAGGGUAAAAAGGGUCAUGUCUCACUCCUUUUUCUUCUGUGGAGGGUCAAGAAAAGAAACACUGGAGAAAUAGAAGAGGUCAUCAUAGACUUUUUCGCGCAUUGACACCAUCAACCAGGGGUUCCACUUUAUUUUCUUUUUUCCCUUAAUGUGUGUAGGUCUACAGAAUUGAUUUGUGUAUAGUAUAUAGACUUGCCUACCACUAGCAAACGAAAUUAAAUAGAGCGCGCUCGUGCGCUCGGCGUCUUUUGUUGUUAUUGGAUACUCAUCUCAGUCUUCUAUUCUUUAGGUACUGGUAUUGGUUUCCUUAAAAAGCCGUGUCCCCACUCAAUUGUCCGCGGCAGCAACACACCCACAACAUGGGAGGUCGUUUGUCGAUGAUGAUCAUCGCACGCGUUCGGCUGACAGCACCCGGUGCACGCACGUGGACACAACACAUCCCAAUCAUCAUCCACCUGCGAGACAAAUCAUUGGCCAUUCUUCAGCUUGUUUUUUUUAUUUUUUAUUUUUUUUACUAGCCCGUUUUCUCCUAUAGGGUAUUCCCUUGUUGGUUGUCCAGCAUGUGCCAAGAAAAUAAAUGUAUAAACUUGU